UUGCAUAUCUUCUGGAGCAGUGACUUCAAGUGUAGCUAUUUAUAGUAAUAAUAUUUCUAUAGUUGCAUAAAAUAUUAUAAUACAAGAAUGUUUAUCACAAUAAUUAUAUUAAAAUGAAACAUGUGGAAACCCCAAAUGUCAACAGAGAUUGAUGUACUCAGUAGCCUAAUGUGCAGACAAAAAGAAUGACAAUUAACAUCUUACUCAGACUAUUUAAUGUCAUAUAAGAAAUCCAAUGUAUAAUAUAUAAAUGAAGCAGGUUAUCAAACAACAUGUGAAAUUGUGGUAGAUGCUGUGUGUGUCACAGCCAUGUACCUUCACCCUCACUAUUUCAGUCUAUGCUUGCUCGACUUCUGAUUGCUGGAUUCUACUUCUGUUUGCCUGAGUUUUCUUUGUCCAGGUGCUUAGCAGGCCAGAAUGCUAAAGAAUAAUGCUCUGGAUGCGUAAUUGCCCAACAAUUGAUGGAGUUCGUGUACAAAUAGCCCAGGUCACACACUCUUUUGCUGAAGUGACUUUGAGAACAGUGCUCCAUACUGACUCCCAGAGUUCCUCAUUGGGAUCAGAUCCAAGAAUCCACAGUGAUGACUUCCCAGCUGGAAUGGAGAUUUCAUGGGCCAUGUGCAUGAAUGAUCUCACUGAUGGCAGAGCAACAAAAUCAAGGGCCUGUGGCCAUCAGUGAGAUGGCUCAGUAGCAAGCCUGCCUAGACUCUGAAGCUUUUGGAGUGAGGAGAUAACAGGAGGAUGCUGGUAAGAUGGCUGGAAGACCAAUGUAAUACCAGGGUAGAGAUUUUCAACCAAACGAGUCAUUGGGGAAGACCCAAGUUUUGGAGGGAAAGAGUAAUGUGAUAGGAGCUGCACUUUGAGGUGGUAAGUCUGGCAGUGAUGUAUAAGAUUGAUUUAGAAGAAGGAAGUGGGGAUCAAGAAUUCAAUGCUCCCUAUGUUCCCUUGCAGCCUAUGGCACAGGUAGGCGUAGCUCUCCAACAGUUCUUGUGGCCGGUGUCACAAUGUUGGCCCUGUCCUGUGUUCCCUAAUGUUUUCUGUUGUAGCA